GUGUUUCUUGCCGGAGGUAGAGCUACUGGAUGGCCGAUGGGGCCCAAAAGCUUACUGACGUCAGCCAAACUCCGAAUGCCGGUAAGUGAGAGCGCAGCAGUGAGACUGUGGGGGAUAAGCUUCAUAGUCGAGAGGGAAACAACCCAGACCACCAACUAAGGUCCCUAAGCGCGUGCUAAGUGGGAAAGGAUGUGGAGUUGCACAGACAACCAGGAGGUUGGCUUAGAAGCAGCCACCCUUGAAAGAGUGCGUAAUAGCUCACUGGUCAAGUGAUUCCGCGCCGACAAUGUAACGGGGCUCAAGCACGCCACCGAAGUUGUGGCAUUGACAUUAGUGGUAGGCCUUCGUGGUCCAGCCGUGUUGAUGGGUAGGAGAGCGUCGUGUGGCGAGUGAAGCGGCGGUGUGAACCAGCCGUGGAUGCCACACGAGUGAGAAUGCAGGCAUGAGUAGCGAAAGACGGGUGAGAAACCCGUCCUCCGGAAGACCAAGGGUUCCAGGGUCAAGCUAAUCUUCCCUGGGUAAGUCGGGACCUAAGGCGAGGCCGACAGGCGUAGUCGAUGGACAACGGGUUGAUAUUCCCGUACCGGCGAAGAACCGCCCAAGACAAUCCAGUAGUGCUAAGUAUCUGAAUCCCUUUGAUGGAUCCCUUCGGGGUGAAGCGUUGGGCCUAGCGUACGACCCCGUGCUGGUGCGUUUAGCGUAUUAACAGGUGUGACGCAGGAAGGUAGCCGAGCCGGGCGAUGGUUGUCCCGGUCUAAGGA
rnacentral:rRNA from 1 species